rnacentral:rRNA from 1 species
AACGAACGCUGGCGGCAUGCCUAACACAUGCAAGUCGAACGAUCCCUUCGGGGAUAGUGGCGCACGGGUGCGUAACGCGUGGGAACCUGCCCUUAGGUUCGGAAUAACUCAGAGAAAUUUGAGCUAAUACCGGAUAAUGUCUUCGGACCAAAGAUUUAUCGCCUUUGGAUGGGCCCGCGUUGGAUUAGCUAGUUGGUGGGGUAAAGGCCUACCGAGGCGACGAUCCAUAGCUGGUCUGAGAGGAUGAUCAGCCACACUGGGACUGAGACACGGCCCAGACUCCUACGGGAGGCAGCAGUGGGGAAUAUUGGACAAUGGGCGAAAGCCUGAUCCAGCAAUGCCGCGUGAGUGAUGAAGGCCUUAGGGUUGUAAAGCUCUUUUACCCGGGAUGAUAAUGACAGUACCGGGAGAAUAAGCCCCGGCUAACUCCGUG